AAACAGGCUUGCCAGUUUAAACUACGUCUACAAUCCUUGCAGCUGGAGCGAAAGCGACUUAAACAACGCCAGCAAGAGAUACGGCUCCAGGUUGGUUGAGUGUCUCAAACAGGCUUGCCAGUUUAAACUACGUCUCCAAUCCUUACAGCUGGAGUGAAAGCGACUUAAACAACGCCAGCAGGAGAUACGGCUCCAGGCUGGUUGAGUGUCUCAAACAGGCUUGCCAGUUUAAACUACGUCUACAAUCCUUGCAGCUGGAGCGAAAGCGACUUAAACAACGCCAGCAAGAGAUACGGCUCCAGGUUAGUUGAGUGUCUCAAACAGGCUUGCCAGUUGAAACUACGUCUCCAAUCCUUACAGCUGGAGUGAAAGCGACUUAAACAACGCCAGCAGGAGAUACGGCUCCAGGCUGGUUGAGUGUCUCAAACAGGCUUGCCAGUUUAAACUACGUCUACAAUCCUUGCAGCUGGAGCGAAAGCGACUUAAACAACGCCAGCAAGAGAUACGGCUCCAGGUUGGUUGAGUGUCUCAAACAGGCUUACAAGUAUAAACUACGUCUGCAGUCCUUGCAGCUCGAGCGAGAGCGACCUAAACAACGCCAGCAAGAGAUACGGCUCCAGGUUGGUUGAAUGUCUCAAACAGGCUUGCCAGCAAUAAAUACGUCUGCAGUCCUUGCAGCUCACGCAACAUCCGGCAAAUGCGGCUCCAAGUUGGUUCUUUUAGUAUUUCAUACAAAUAUGAAAUAGCUGCGACUUAUGACAACGUAAGAGCGUAGGGAAUUACCAAUGGGAGACUACUUUGCCUUUUUAACCUCAAGCAGUAACGUGCAGGCAUUGUUUGUGUUUCAAAUUGAAAGGCGCUGUAGCUAGUGAUGUCUUUAAUUGCUGAGACCUAUCAAUCGGUCAAGUCAUAGCAUCUUAUGCUGAGGAAGAAAUCUAAGCAGCUCUGCAGUAGCGGCCAGCGUA